UUGACAGCUGUGGAGACUGAAGUCCUCUUUUUAUCCACAGAACAGGUACAGCACAGGCAGCGGCAGUGCAAGCUUCCCCACAUUGCCCCACCAAUGUGCCUCAACCCUGACCUGGAGGGACCACCUUUAGGGGUGAGAGGGGAUUCAGUCUCCAUGCUCAUUCAAUUCUUGGCCUCU
rnacentral:sRNA from 1 species